rnacentral:rRNA from 1 species
UACGAAGGGUGCAAGCGUUAAUCGGAAUUACUGGGCGUAAAGGGUGCGUAGGCGGUUGUUUAAGUCUGUCGUGAAAUCCCCGGGCUCAACCUGGGAAUGGCGAUGGAUACUGGACAGCUAGAGUGUGUCAGAGGAUGGUGGAAUUCCCGGUGUAGCGGUGAAAUGCGUAGAGAUCGGGAGGAACAUCAGUGGGCGAAGGCGGCCAUCUGGGGACAACACUGACGCUGAAGCACGAAAGCGUGGGGAGCAAACAGGG